UUCCUCUCAGCGUCGCACCUGGAGAGUUUCCAGUACUCUGCCAGUCUCAACUACAGGAGGGAGAGUCAAGCAGAGACCUACCCUUUCCAUUCCUAGAUUGGGCAGCAGCUAGCUAGUGGAAGGCAAUCUGCUACAAGU